rnacentral:rRNA from 1 species
UACGAAGGGGGGCUAGCGUUGUUCGGAAUUACUGGGCGUAAAGCGCACGUAGGCGGGUCGUUAAGUCAGGGGUGAAAUCCCGGAGCUCAACUCCGGAACUGCCUUUGAUACUGGCGAUCUUGAGAUCGGAAGAGGUGAGUGGAAUUCCCAGUGUAGAGGUGAAAUUCGUAGAUAUUGGGAAGAACACCAGUGGCGAAGGCGGCUCACUGGUCCGAUACUGACGCUGAGGUGCGAAAGCGUGGGGAGCAAACAGG